GCGACACACAUAGCGGGGCCUCGAGGCUUCACUCUCCACCAAUCACAUAGCGUUSUACUUGACUAAUUUGAGGCAUCGAUCAGUCUGAAAUCCUGCGUGUGCCAAACUCAUCAAAAUCGGAUAACAUUGAACGUAUUUAUCUCAUCUGCGAGCUUUCGUCUGGAUCCCAAAAAAUACCAAAUUCUGGAAUAAUUCAGCCUAUCUUUGUGAACUUAAAGCUGUUGCGUUAWUUCUAACCUCAAGAUAAAGUCCUGAUACCAGUCUCCGCAAGAAAAUCAUUAGUGUCUUGUCGCUACUGAAUUAGGCAGUUUGAAACUCAGAUGAGUGGAAGAAGCCUAAGGAACUGUAACGCUAUUUCUCACUAGAUUUAAGGUUUCAACGUUGCUCAUUCAGCUGCAAUCCUGGCGUCUAGUUCGUUCAAGACGGCAUCCAAGCCAACGUCCAUGAUUUCAUCAACCUCUUUAUACCUGUACGGCCUACUGGCUGUGUUUGURCUAUGYAGCGUGACCCUCACYUGGGACACACCACUGUUCCAUCAGUACCACGAACAUUACAUGUCACAUUCRACGUAUCGUGGUGUUGAUGUGUUCACAGAGAGCUUAAACUCGCCAACAGGACCCGAACACUUCAUGGAGAACUUCUACAUAUGUUAUGGACGCGACGGACGAAAAACAUAUUAUAAGAAGUUGGACAAGACUUAUUUCUCGAACAAACGAUACUGGAUUAUUACUUCCAGUGGGAAGUUCGUGGCAUCCAUGAAGACUUGUUGAGUUUAAUAUACAUGUAUGAAUUUAGGAACACCCUGCCCAGUCAAAAGAGUGAAGAUGCGCGGGACCCUCGCUACUCUCCAUUAGAACGCUUAGUACUUCAUGUAAGACCUCAUAAAAGUGUAGACCUAACCGUGACAAUUCAUAGCCACUUACAUGAAUUUCUGACGUUCGGAACCAUCUUUAUUAGUCAAGCACCAUAUCAUAAUUCUCCUUCUCAACAGCCACUUCCAUUGUAGAAAAAAAACACUGGGUGCACGUAAUAGUUUAAGUGCUGCGGUGAAGACUUGUAAUUAUGUACAUAACGGUUUUGAUUUGAAAUWAAAAUGCUUAGUUUUGAUAAA